rnacentral:rRNA from 1 species
CUGACGGUUUGAUCAAUGGCUCAGGAUGAACGCUAGCGGCAGGCCUAACACAUGCAAGUCAGGGGCAGCACGAAAAAGCUUGCUUUUUUGGUGGCGACCGGCGCACGGGUGCGUAACGCGUAUGCAACCUACCCUGUACUGGAGGAUAGCCCGAAGAAAUUCGGAUUAAUACUCCAUAGUAAUUAGAGACCGCAUGGUUUUUAAUUUAAAGGUUACGGUACAGGAUGGGCAUGCGUCCCAUUAGCUAGAUGGUAAGGUAACGGCUUACCAUGGCGACGAUGGUAGGGGGCCUGAGAGGGUGAUCCCCCACACUGGUACUGAGACACGGACCAGACUCCUACGGGAGGCAGCAGUGAGGAAUAUUGGACAAUGGGCGCAAGCCUGAUCCAGCCAUGCCGCGUGCAGGAAGAAUGCCCUAUGGGUUGUAAACUGCUUUUAUUUGGGAAUAAACCUCUUUACGUGUAGAGAGCUGAAGGUACCAAAUGAAUAAGCACCGGCUAACUCCGUG